GCUCAGGAUGAACGCUAGCUACAGGCUUAACACAUGCAAGUCGAGGGGUAACGAGAGGAAAGCUUGCUUUCCUUGUCGACGACCGGCGCACGGGUGAGUAACGCGUAUCCAACCUGCCCCCAACUAGGGAAUAACCUUGCGAAAGUAAGACUAAUACCCUAUAAUUUCCUCAGAUGUCAUCUGGCGAGGAAUAAAGAUUUAUCGGUUGUGGAUGGGGAUGCGUCUGAUUAGCUUGUUGGCGGGGUAACGGCCCACCAAGGCAACGAUCAGUAGGGGUUCUGAGAGGAAGGUCCCCCACAUUGGAACUGAGACACGGUCCAAACUCCUACGGGAGGCAGCAGUGAGGAAUAUUGGUCAAUGGGCGGAAGCCUGAACCA
rnacentral:rRNA from 1 species